rnacentral:rRNA from 1 species
CCCAAGGGAAUGGCUGUUCGCCAUUUAAAGUGGUACGCGAGCUGGGUUUAGAACGUCGUGAGACAGUUCGGUCCCUAUCUGGUGUGGGCGUUGGAGAUUUGAGGAGAGCUGCUUCUAGUACGAGAGGACCGAAGUGGACAGACCUCUGGUGUUCGGGUUGUCAUGCCAAUGGCAUUGCCCGGUAGCUAUGUUUGGACAGGAUAACCGCUGAAAGCAUCUAAGCGGGAAGCCCCCUCCAAGAUUAGAUCUCCCUGGGACUUUAAGUCCCCUUAAGGGACGUUCAAGACUAGGACGUUGAUAGGCUGGAUGUGUAAGCGCUGUAAAGCGUUGAGCUAACCAGUACUAAUUACCCGUGAGGCUUGACCAUAUAAUAGA